CCCUUAGAUGUUCUGGGCGGCCCGCGCACUACAUUGGCACUGGCAACAAGAUCCUAGAUCUGGUAUUUCGGGGUAUUCUACCAACUGGUGUCGUGACUGGGAUUAACCCCUGCAAUUAUUGGUUAUGAACGAGGAAUUCCUUGUAAUCACGGUUUAUCAACCCGUGUUGAAUGCGUCCCUGCCCUUUGUACACACCGCCCGUCGCUCCUACCGAUGAAUCGUCCGGUGAAAUCUCGGGACGGCGGCUUGGUCGCUUGCGUCCGACUGCUGAAACUUGAUUAAACCAUAUCAUUUAGAGGAAGGUGAAGUCGUAACA
rnacentral:rRNA from 1 species